GGUUAAGCGACUAAGCGUACACGGUGGAUGCCCUGGCAGUCAGAGGCGAUGAAGGACGUGCUAAUCUGCGAAAAGCGUCGGUAAGGUGAUAUGAACCGUUAUAGCCGGCGAUGUCCGAAUGGGGAAACCCAGUGCAAUUCGUUGCACUAUCGUUAACUGAAUACAUAGGUUAACGAGGCGAACCGGGGGAACUGAAACAUCUAAGUACCCCGAGGAAAAGAAAUCAACCGAGAUUCCCCCAGUAGCGGCGAGCGAACGGGGAGCAGCCCAGAGUCUGAAUCAGCUUGUGUGUUAGUGGAACGGUCUGGAAAGUCCGACGGUACAGGGUGAUAGUCCCGUACACCAAAAUGCACAGGCUGUGAACUCGAAGAGUAGGGCGGGACACGUGGUAUCCUGUCUGAAUAUGGGGGGACCAUCCUCCAAGGCUAAAUACUCCUGACUGACCGAUAGUGAACCAGUACCGUGAGGGAAAGGCGAAAAGAACCCCGGCGAGGGGAGUGAAAAAGAACCUGAAACCGUGUACGUACAAGCAGUGGGAGCACCUUCGGGUGUGACUGCGUACCUUUUGUAUAAUGGGUCAGCGACUUAUAUUCUGUAGCAAGGUUAACCGUAUAGGGGAGCCGCAGGGAAACCGAGUCUUAACUGGGCGUUAAGUUGCAGGGUAUAGACCCGAAACCCGGUGAUCUAGCCAUGGGCAGGUUGAAGGUUGGGUAACACUAACUGGAGGACCGAACCGACUAAUGUUGAAAAAUUAGCGGAUGACUUGUGGCUGGGGGUGAAAGGCCAAUCAAACCGGGAGAUAGCUGGUUCUCCCCGAAAGCUAUUUAGGUAGCGCCUCGUGAACUCAUCUUCGGGGGUAGAGCACUGUUUCGGCUAGGGGGUCAUCCCGACUUACCAACCCGAUGCAAACUACGAAUACCGAAGAAUGUUAUCACGGGAGACACACGGCGGGUGCUAACGUCCGUCGUGAAGAGGGAAACAACCCAGACCGCCAGCUAAGGUCCCAAAGUCAUGGUUAAGUGGGAAACGAUGUGGGAAGGCACAGACAGCCAGGAUGUUGGCUUAGAAGCAGCCAUCAUUUAAAGAAAGCGUAAUAGCUCACUGGUCGAGUCGGCCUGCGCGGAAGAUGUAACGGGGCUAAACCAUGCACCGAAGCUGCGGCAGCGACACUAUGUGUUGUUGGGUAGGGGAGCGUUCUGUAAGCCUGCGAAGGUGUGCUGUGAGGCAUGCUGGAGGUAUCAGAAGUGCGAAUGCUGACAUAAGUAACGAUAAAGCGGGUGAAAAGCCCGCUCGCCGGAAGACCAAGGGUUCCUGUCCAACGUUAAUCGGGGCAGGGUGAGUCGACCCCUAAGGCGAGGCCGAAAGGCGUAGUCGAUGGGAAACAGGUUAAUAUUCCUGUACUUGGUGUUACUGCGAAGGGGGGACGGAGAAGGCUAUGUUAGCCGGGCGACGGUUGUCCCGGUUUAAGCAUGUAGGCUGGUUAUCCAGGCAAAUCCGGAUAAUCAAGGCUGAGGUGUGAUGACGAGGCACUACGGUGCUGAAGUAACAAAUGCCCUGCUUCCAGGAAAAGCCUCUAAGCAUCAGGUAACAUCAAAUCGUACCCCAAACCGACACAGGUGGUCAGGUAGAGAAUACCAAGGCGCUUGAGAGAACUCGGGUGAAGGAACUAGGCAAAAUGGUGCCGUAACUUCGGGAGAAGGCACGCUGGUGUGUAGGUGAAGUCCCUGCGGAUGGAGCUGAGACCAGUCGAAGAUACCAGCUGGCUGCAACUGUUUAUUAAAAACACAGCACUGUGCAAACACGAAAGUGGACGUAUACGGUGUGACGCCUGCCCGGUGCCGGAAGGUUAAUUGAUGGGGUUAUCCGUAAGGAGAAGCUCUUGAUCGAAGCCCCGGUAAACGGCGGCCGUAACUAUAACGGUCCUAAGGUAGCGAAAUUCCUUGUCGGGUAAGUUCCGACCUGCACGAAUGGCGUAAUGAUGGCCAGGCUGUCUCCACCCGAGACUCAGUGAAAUUGAACUCGCUGUGAAGAUGCAGUGUACCCGCGGCAAGACGGAAAGACCCCGUGAACCUUUACUAUAGCUUGACACUGAACAUUGAGCCUUGAUGUGUAGGAUAGGUGGGAGGCUUUGAAGCGUGGACGCCAGUCUGCGUGGAGCCAACCUUGAAAUACCACCCUUUAAUGUUUGAUGUUCUAACGUUGGCCCCUUACCGGGGUUGCGGACAGUGUCUGGUGGGUAGUUUGACUGGGGCGGUCUCCUCCCAAAGCGUAACGGAGGAGCACGAAGGUUAGCUAAUCCUGGUCGGACAUCAGGAGGUUAGUGCAAUGGCAUAAGCUAGCUUGACUGCGAGCGUGACGGCGCGAGCAGGUGCGAAAGCAGGUCAUAGUGAUCCGGUGGUUCUGAAUGGAAGGGCCAUCGCUCAACGGAUAAAAGGUACUCCGGGGAUAACAGGCUGAUACCGCCCAAGAGUUCAUAUCGACGGCGGUGUUUGGCACCUCGAUGUCGGCUCAUCACAUCCUGGGGCUGAAGUAGGUCCCAAGGGUAUGGCUGUUCGCCAUUUAAAGUGGUACGCGAGCUGGGUUUAGAACGUCGUGAGACAGUUCGGUCCCUAUCUGCCGUGGGCGCUGGAGAAUUGAGGGGGGCUGCUCCUAGUACGAGAGGACCGGAGUGGACGCAUCACUGGUGUUCGGGUUGUCAUGCCAAUGGCACUGCCCGGUAGCUAAAUGCGGAAGAGAUAAGUGCUGAAAGCAUCUAAGCACGAAACUUGCCCCGAGAUGAGUUCUCCCUGAGACUUUAAGUCUCCUGAAGGAACGUUAAAGACGAUGACGUUGAUAGGCCGGGUGUGUAAGCGCAGCGAUGCGUUGAGCUAACCGGUACUAAUGAACCGUGAGGCUUAACCUU
rnacentral:rRNA from 1 species